rnacentral:rRNA from 1 species
UACGAAGGGGGCUAGCGUUGCUCGGAAUCACUGGGCGUAAAGGGUGCGUAGGCGGGUCUUUAAGUCAGAGGUGAAAUCCUGGAGCUCAACUCCAGAACUGCCUUUGAUACUGAGGAUCUUGAGUUCGGGAGAGGUGAGUGGAACUGCGAGUGUAGAGGUGAAAUUCGUAGAUAUUCGCAAGAACACCAGUGGCGAAGGCGGCUCACUGGCCCGAUACUGAUGCUGAGGCACGAAAGCGUGGGGAGCAAACAGG